CCUACGGGUGGCAGCAGUAGGGAAGAUUGCUCAAUGGGGGAAACCCUGAAGCAGCAACGCCGCGUGGAGGAUGAAGGUUUUAGGAUUGUAAACUCCUUUUGUUAGAGAAGAGUAUGACGGUAGCUAACGAAUAAGCACCGGCUAACUCCGUGCCAGCAGCCGCGGUAAUACGGAGGGUGCAAGCGUUACUCGGAAUCACUGGGCGUAAAGAGUGCGUAGGCGGGGUAAGAAGUCAGAUGUGAAAUCCUGUAGCUUAACUACAGAACUGCAUUUGAAACUGUUACUCUGGAGUGUGGGAGUGGUAGGUGGAAUUCUUGUUGUAGUGGUUAACUCCGUAGAGAUCACGAGGACUACUCAUUGCGACGGCGACCUGCUGGAACAUUCCUGACGCUGAUGCACGAAAGCGUGGGGAGCAAACAGGAUUAGAUACCCGGGUAGUC
rnacentral:rRNA from 1 species